rnacentral:rRNA from 1 species
CUACGGGAUGCAGCAGUGGGGGAUAUUGCACAAUGGGCGAAAGCCUGAUGCAGCAACGCCGCGUGAAGGAAGACGGUUUUCGGAUUGUAAACUUCUAUCAGCAGGGAAGAAAAUGACUGUACCUGACUAAGAAGCCCCGGCUAACUACGUGCCAGCAGCCGCGGUAAUACGUAGGGGGCAAGCGUUAUCCGGAAUUACUGGGUGUAAAGGGUACGUAGGCGGUUCGUUAAGUCAGAUGUGAAAGCCCGAAGCUUAACUUCGGGACUGCAUUUGAAGCUGAUGAACUAGAGUACAGGAGAGGUAAGUGGAAUUCCUAGUGUAGCGGUGAAAUGCGUAGAUAUUAGGAAGAACACCAGUGGCGAAGGCGACUUACUGGACUGUAACUGACGCUGAGGUACGAAAGCGUGGGGAGCGAACAGGAUUAGAUACCCGCGUAGUC